GCUCGAGCUAUGUGACAGCAAAGUUCUUUUCGAUUGAAAACUUGAAGACCGCAGUUGUGUUUUUCCUUGCAUUUCACGUUUCGUGUCAAAAUCUGAAGACUUAAAACAUGCGUUACGUGGCUGCAUACUUGUUGGCUGUUAUCGGCGGAAAGGAAGCCCCCGCUAAUGCAGACCUUGAGAAAAUUCUCAGCUCUGUCGGUAUUGAGGUGGAUACUGAACGUCUUUCAAAGGUGAUUAAGGAACUCGAUGGCAAAAGUAUUGAAGAUCUGAUCAAGGAAGGACGUGAAAAGCUGUCUUCGAUGCCAGUCGGCGGCGGUGCUGUAUCUGCUGCUCCGUCCGCAGGCACUCCAGCAGCUCCAGCUGGUGGGGACAAAAAAGAAGCUAGCAAAGAUGAGAAGAAGGAAGAUUCCGAGUCUGAGGAUGACGACAUGGGUUUCGCUCUCUUUGAGUAAACCGACAUUGUUGGCAUUCUCCCGAAAAGUCGUAUAUAAAGCAAAACACGUACAAUAUCAUGAGGUUAUAUCACAAAAAAUAAAAAUGCGUUGCGUCGCCAUCUGAAAUAAAGCUUUAAUUUGCAGCUCGCUAUUAAAAAAUGUAUUUCAUAGCCCAGAAACAUUUUGAAUAGCUCAGUCAUUUGAAUCUUUAUUUCCGUGAAAUAAAAUCUAAAGUGUUAAAACUUUGUAUACAAAACUAAA
rnacentral:misc_RNA from 1 species